UGUUGGGCCUCACGCAAUGUGGCCUUGUGAAACCCGUCAGAUCCGGAAGGAAGCAGCGGUAGCAAAAUUCCAUGUGUGCUGUGAGUUCCCCAGCAAUU
rnacentral:SRP_RNA from 2 species